rnacentral:rRNA from 1 species
CCUACGGGGCGCAGCAGUGGGGGAUAUUGCACAACGGGGGAAACCCUGAUGCAGCGACGCCGCGUGGGUGAAGAAGCGCCUCGGCGCGCAAAGCCCUGUCAGCAGGGAAGAAAAUGACGGUACCUGAAGAAGAAGCCCCGGCUAACUACGUGCCAGCAGCCGCGGUAAUACGUAGGGGGCAAGCGUUAUCCGGAUUUACUGGGUGUAAGGGGAGCGCAGACGGCAAGGCAAGUCUGAUGUGAAAGUCCGAGGCUCAACCUCGGGACUGCAUUGGAAACUGUCUGGCUAGAGUGCAGGAGAGGUAA